ensembl:lncRNA
GUCUUAGUGAUUCUGAGUCCCUCGCUCCCUAUGGCAUUCCUGCUUCCUGCUUCCUGCUUCCUGCUUCUGCUUCCUGCUUCCUGCUUCCAUUCAGUCUUAGAGCGGCGCUGGUGGUGCGUGCAUUGAGGCGAAUUGGCGCCGGAGAUCGCGUAAAGUGUUUGCAACAUUUAGCCGGUGGCUGAAUGAUAUGUGUAUGUAUGUCGAGCUGCGGUACCUGUGAGUAAUCAUACAACUUCGCGUCUGGUGUUUGUUCAACCCAAUGGUGAGAGUGGGGAGUUGAGCUAAGCCUUCUCUAUUACAAACCCCUAGCUGAAGACGCUACAUGUGACGCCGCUGCUGUUUUGCUUAUUGGAUUGUAUUGCUCCAAUUAUUGUUUUGCUUCAACAAUUGUUUUGCUUUAGUGCAUCAACAAUUGUUUUGCUUUAUCUAUUGUUUGCUUCAUGGUUUUAUGUAUUUUGUUUUACUUUUUUUUUUAUUUACGUCUGGUUUGUUUUGUAACCACAUGUAGUCUGAGAGUGGUAAAUUAGUUUUCUAGCCUCAAACCUGUUUCAGGUUUGUUGUUCCACCUAACCACUUUACUACUGAGAGGGUGUAUGUUACUGUCUCCAUGCUAUAGUGGCCAUAAUUGUCAUUUGUACUGUUUACCAUAAUUCUGGUUCUGCUUGGGUGUUAUCCACCGCCUCCAUUUCUUGUGGUGGUGUCAGUGGGCCUGGGUGUUAUAGUUACCAUACCACAGUGUCUGUUAUUUGUCUUUCUACGUUUUGUUGUUUAGUGUCUGUGUAAAUUUGGGUUAACUGGUGUCUUCUUUCUCUCCAGGAGCCAGUGAGUCUUGGUGGCACAGGGGAGGCUAGCUGCAUUUAUUCAGUGUGGGUUUGGAUGACCUCCUGAGCUGUCGCUGGCCUGCCUUGUCCCUGCCAAGCCUGGGCCUGGAGAAGUGGUUAGUUUUAAAAUACUUACUGUGCUUCAUGUGACAGUGAUUUUAUAUUUUCAUGUCAAGUUUUAAAUGAUGCUGAAGUGUCAUAAUAAAAUAUAAAUUUAUAUUCGUACUCAUGUCUCACUCUCAUGUUCCUUGCCCCGAUUGGUG